rnacentral:rRNA from 1 species
GGCUUAACACAUGCAAGUCGAACGGUUGUAGCAAUACAGCAGUGGCAGACGGGUGAGUAACACGUGGGAACCUUCCUAGGGGUACGGAACAACUCAGGGAAACUUGAGCUAAUACCGUAUACGUCCGUGAGGAGAAAGAUUUAUCGCCCUUAGACGGGCCCGCGUAGGAUUAGGUAGUUGGUGGGGUAAUGGCCUACCAAGCCUACGAUCCUUAGCUGAUCUGAGAGGAUGAUCAGCCACACUGGGACUGAGACACGGCCCAGACUCCUACGGGAGGCAGCAGUGGGGAAUCUUGGACAAUGGGCGCAAGCCUGAUCCAGCCAUGCCGCGUGAGUGAAGAAGGCCUUCGGGUUGUAAAGCUC